rnacentral:rRNA from 1 species
AUGGCGUACGCCGACGUUAAGGAGCACAAGGCCGUCAAGGGCGCUCUGGAGUGCGCCGUCUGCCUCAGCGAGUUCGACGACGACGAGACGCUCCGCCUCCUGCCCAACGUCCAUCCCGCUUCGCAGCCGCCGCAAGAAGUGCCACCGCCAGCUUCUGCAACGGAGGCAGCACCCACCGUCGUCAUCGACGCGGAGGAGAGCGGGGACGAGAGGAUCAUACGGGAAGAGACGGACGAACUGGCGUGCAUCGGCAGCCUGAAACGCGCGCUGCGCUCCAAGUCCAGCCGCGCGCCCACGCAUUUCUCGCGUUCGCACUCGACUGGGCACUCGCUCGCUGCGCGAGCCAGCAUCUGCACCGGCCCCGGCGCCGGCGUCAAGAGGUUCACGCUGCGGCUGCCCGAGCCGGAGCACGCGGGCAGACUACGGCGCAUGAAGAGCCUCGUCGCGUUCACUGCCGGCCGCCAGGGCAGCACGUACCGUUCACUCCGACUAUGCGGCGAGCCGGCGACGGCAGCUGCCGCAGCGGCACGAGCGGCCGGCUGGGCCAGUCAGGCCGGUGGCCAUCUUUCUUGUCGCGGACUUUCUCCGCGGCGUGGGGGGCGAGGUCCACCCGGAGUGCCGAGUUGGACGGCUCGAGCAAGGGCGGGAAGCCGGCCGGCGCCGGCGGCAAGUCAGUGGACUGCAAAGACCACUAGACCAGGCGUGCGCUGCUGA